CAAGACCAACAGCUUUCCUCUUCUUCUUAUCCUUUUUCUGCGACCACAAAACAAAAAGACAUUUUUGGUUAGAAACAGAGCGCUUUCUUCUUCACAGAACAUAACAAUGGUGGUAUGGAUGUAUCACCUCGAUCAGAGAACCGAUUUCAUCUAUCAAAGUGAUUUGAUGUAUCACAACCUCAUUGAUACAUAUAGAUCCCACCUCCCUGUUGAUUUAAUUUCACAGAUUCUUCAAAACCCUAGAAUUUGGAGUUGGUGAUCUACUUGCUCAAGUGCGAAAGAAGCAGCCUUGGGCCGACCCAAAGAUUGUCAAGGUUACAUGAUGUCGUGCACAGUGACAAACGUAUGUAUUUGGUCUUUGAGUACCUAGUCUAAGACUUGAAGAAACACAUGGACUCUUGUUCGUAGCUCUCAAAGGAUCCUCAUCUUGUAAAAAUGAGUUAUCUUUUCAUGCCUCCUAGAGGUUGGGGUGCACCCUGGGACUGAACUUAGUUGAAAUACCAAUGGUUUCCAAGUUCAAUAACAUUCUCUCUAGAAGUUUAUAGUACAUGAAGGCCCUUUUUUGAGAGGAUUUGGAUACCAAACAAGCAACAUAGUGCAGUUUGUAGGGAUGGUAAUGAAGAUCCUUUCAGAUUUUCUUGCAUUAAAUAAUUUUUGGUUAUUGUUUUCAAUUUUCAGAUGUUCCUAUAUCAAAUGUUACGUGGUAUUGCUUAUUGUCAUUCUCAUCGAGUUCUGC